GGAUGGACCCGCGUCUGAUUAGCUAGUUGGUAAGGUAACGGCUUACCAAGGCGACGACCAGUAGCCGACCUGAGAGGGUGAUCGGCCACAUUGGAACUGAGACACGGUCCAAACUCCUACGGGAGGCAGCAGUGGGGAAUAUUGCACAAUGGGCGAAAGCCUGAUGCAGCAACGCCGCGUGAGCGAUGAAGGCCUUCGGGUCGUAAAGCUCUGUCCUCAAGGAAGAUAAUGACGGUACUUGAGGAGGAAGCCCCGGCUAACUACGUGCCAGCAGCCGCGGUAAUACGUAGGGGGCUAGCGUUAUCCGGAAUUACUGGGCGUAAAGGGUGCGUAGGUGGUUUCUUAAGUCAGAGGUGAAAGGCUACGGCUCAACCGUAGUAAGCCUUUGAAACUGUGAAACUUGAGUGCAGGAGAGGAGAGUGGAA
rnacentral:rRNA from 1 species